rnacentral:rRNA from 1 species
UACGUAGGGUGCGAGCGUUAAUCGGAAUACUGGGCGUAAAGCGUGCGCAGGCGGUUCUCCAAGUCCGUUGUGAAAGCCCCGGGCUCAACCUGGGAAUGGCAGUGGAAACUAGGGGACUGGAAUCUGGCAGAGGGGGGUGGAAUGCCGCGUGUAGCAGUGAAAUGCGUAGAGAUGCGGCGGAACACCGAUGGCGAAGGCAGCCCCCUGGGCUGAGAUUGACGCUCAGGCACGAAAGCGUGGGGAGCAACAGG